CGCGUAGGCGGUUCUGUAAGUCAGAUGUGAAAUUCCAGGGCUUAACCUUGGGGCUGCAUUUGAUACGUGUAGACUAGAGUGUGAGAGAGGGUUGUGGAAUUCCCAGUGUAGAGGUGAAAUUCGUAGAUAUUGGGAAGAACACCGGUGGCGAAGGCGGCAACCUGGCUCAUUACUGACGCUGAGGCGCGAAAGCGUGGGGAGCAAACAGGAUUAUAUACCCCGGUA
rnacentral:rRNA from 1 species